rnacentral:rRNA from 1 species
GACGAACGCUGGCGGCGUGCUUAACACAUGCAAGUCGAACGAUGAAGCCGGAGCUUGCUCUGGUGAAUUAGUGGCGAACGGGUGAGUAACACGUGAGUAACCUGCCCUUGACUCUGGGAUAACUGCAGGAAACUGUAGCUAAUACCGGAUACGACCCUCGGAGGCAUCUCCUGGGGGUGGAAAGAAUUUCGGUCAAGGAUGGACUCGCGGCCUAUCAGUUAGUUGGUGAGGUAAAGGCGAACCAAGGCGACGACGGGUAGCCGGCCUGAGAGGGUGACCAGCCACACUGGGACUGAGACACGGCCCAGACUCCUACGGGAGGCAGCAGUGGGGAAUAUUGCACAAUGGGCGCAAGCCUGAUGCAGCAACGCCGCGUGAGGGAUGACGGCCUUCGGGUUGUAAACCUCUUUUAGCAGGGAAGAAGCGAAAGUGACGGUACCUGCAGAAAAAGCACCGGCUAACUACGUGCCAGCCGCCGCGGUAA